GAUGAAGAACGUAGCGAAAUGCGAUACGUAAUGUGAAUUGCAGAUUUCAGUGAAUCAUCGAAUCUUUGAACGCACAUUGCGCCCCCUGGUAUUCCGGGGGGCAUGCCUGUUCGAGCGUCAUUACAACCCUCAAGCUCUGCUUGGUAUUGGGCCCCGCCAGUUCUGGCGGGCCCUAAAGUCAGUGGCGGUGCCUUCCGGCUCCGAGCGUAGUAAUUCUUCUCGCUCUGGAGACCCGGUUGUGUGCUUGCCAACAACCCCCAAUUUUUUAAGGUUGACCUCGGAUCAGGUAGGGAUACCCGCUGAACUUAAGCAUAUCAAUAAGCGGAGGA
rnacentral:misc_RNA from 1 species